GGGCUAUAGCUCAGCUGAGAGAGCGCUUGCAUGGCAUGCAAGAGGUCGGCGGUUCGAUCCCGCCUAGCUCC
rnacentral:ncRNA from 14 species